rnacentral:rRNA from 1 species
GUCGACGAUGAACACUUCGGUGGGGAUUAGUGGCGAACGGGUGAGUAACACGUGGGCAAUCUGCCCUGCACUCUGGGACAAGCCCUGGAAACGGGGUCUAAUACCGGAUAUGAGCCUGGGAGGCAUCUCCCGGGUUGUAAAGCUCCGGCGGUGCAGGAUGAGCCCGCGGCCUAUCAGCUUGUUGGUGAGGUAAUGGCUCACCAAGGCGACGACGGGUAGCCGGCCUGAGAGGGCGACCGGCCACACUGGGACUGAGACACGGCCCAGACUCCUACGGGAGGCAGCAGUGGGGAAUAUUGCACAAUGGGCGAAAGCCUGAUGCAGCGACGCCGCGUGAGGGAUGACGGCCUUCGGGUUGUAAACCUCUUUCAGCAGGGAAGAAGCGAAAGUGACGGUACCUGCAGAAGAAGCGCCGGCUAACUACGUGCCAGCAGCCGCGGUAAUACGUAGGGCGCAAGCGUUGUCCGGAAUUAUUGGGCGUAAAGAGCUCGUAGGCGGCUUGUCACGUCGAUUGUGAAAGCCCGAGGCUUAACCUCGGGUCUGCAGUCGAUACGGGCUAGCUAGAGUGUGGUAGGGGAGAUCGGAAUUCCUGGUGUAGCGGUGAAAUGCGCAGAUAUCAGGAGGAACACCGGUGGCGAAGGCGGAUCUCUGGGCCAUUACUGACGCUGAGGAGCGAA